CAGGGUUUGUUUCCAGGUUAGAUCUUCCACGUUCUGCCUCAGGCCCUGUCUCCUUUCCUACCAAGUUCUUUGUCACAUCUCUAUUCGUGUCCUAGUUGCUGUGACAGUGUGAAAUUUAUCCAUGACAGUAAGAGAAGCUAGUGCAGAAGGCAGCAGGACCUCAUGGUGUACACCUUCAUGCUUUGAAGGAGCAGCAAUUGCUGACGCUGAUUUUAAGCCCUAGAUUGGACUUUUGGGUCAUGUAACAGUUCUAUCCCAUAAAACAGCCCUGGAAAGUUGUAGUAAAGAGAAGCAAAGUCUUUCCACAUCCUCUUUUGUUUUCUUCCUGCUUUAUAGAUAACUCAGAACUCCUAAAUUCUCCUUAUUCCUCACUUUCAGCAUGAAGCUGGUGAUUCUGAUUCAUUAUCUUAUCUGAACUGAUCAUGUUAUUUUUCAAAUGAAAGAAAAAACAAACCUUAUUAUUGUUAUAUCCUUGUCUCAGCAGCACUGCUGCAUUAAUUCAGCCUUCCUUCCUUCCUCUCAGGGUUAACUGCUCUCCCCAUUGGUGAAGUUAAGACUGUCUGCCAAUAUGAUCAAGUUUCAAAAACCAAACCCAACCAGAACGGAGAGCCAAGAAGUGGGCAGGGGUUUGUUUAAUGUGUUGGCACAGUAACUAAAGGUUUUGAGGUGGCUGUGAAGGGUUACACUCCCUCAAUCAGAAAAAUGCUGUCAGCUGGGAAGGAAGGGAGGAGGCCAUGGCUGUUACUGCUUCCUCCGCAGAUAAAUACAGGGGAUGCAAUCAGUUUCCAUACAGCCAGCACAACACAGCAGAGGAGCAGCAACUCCCCGAGGACCUCAGCUUGUUGGUGCAUCCGUGAAUCUGAAUCCUGAGACUUGGAAGAUGCAGCAGCAGGAUUGGGAACCAAGGGCACCAAGGAAAGGAUCGUUAAUACAUUAAUGAAAAUGCACACAGACAAGCCCAAAUAAUGGACCGUAUGUAUUGUUAACCC
ensembl:lncRNA